rnacentral:misc_RNA from 1 species
GGACACCAUUUUUUUUCUUUUACAUGAUUUGAAGAUACAAAGUUUGGUUCAUGAAUUUGAUUGUGGCAACUGACAACAGAAAAACGCAGAUGCAGAGGUUAGAAUAUGAUAAGAUUAGAAAAUGGAUGGGCUGGGAUCGACUAGGCCACAGUCACUACCCAAUAGCAAAUCAGGCUAAACCAGCGUCUCGGGUUAUUUCAUGGCCUUUUUUGCCUUAAGAAACUCAUCUUAUCCCGAACCCAGAAAUAAUUAUUUGUUUUUGUGGUUGGGCAAACCUAUGAGGCCCAGUGAGAGUAGCUCUGUUGACACGAAGGAUGGUAACUCAGGGAUCCAAGUGCGGAUGUUCACUAUAUGAGACUGACGCGCUGUUGCACAAGCCUUUGAUCUUUGCUCUCAGUAGACGCUACAGCCUCAUUGAGAGCUUGAGAAGAUCAGCAGUGUGUUGAAGAACUUGCCGAUCUCUGCCCUUCCGGUUCACCUGGCCUCUCGCGUUUUUUAGUUCGCAGGCCUAUGAGCUUUGUUUUAUGAGUUAGGGCUGAUUGGCCUCCAGAUCUGUCUUUUCCUGUCUUUGUGGCCUUGGGCGCUCAUGUAAGCUUCACGUUGAGAAAUUUUUAUUUCAUUGAAAUUUGACUUGGCUAUCCCAACAUAAAUUGCCCAACAACUGUCAAAUUUAAUCCACAUGUAGCUGAUCCAAGCGGUCUUUACAGGCUUAACUGUGGAGGAACAGAAAUUCAUUUGAAGUUUACAACUGUCAAAUUGCCUAUGUCCAGCUUGAUGGAGCAAUUUCUCAAUGGAUCCCAAGUAAGUCUGGUAGUAUAAAUUAGCCACAUGCAGGCAAAGAGAUUGAAGAGUUUUGUUCAUUUCCUGACAAGUACAUCACUACGAUGAAACUUGACUGUUUCAAUGUAUAAGAAUGAUAAGCCCCAACAUUCAAAUGAUGAACUGGAACUCUUUUCAUAGUUAGACGUCCUAUAUUGGUUGUAUUUGCUCUGUUAGGAAGACAAGUUAUCGUUCUCCCUCUCAGGUCAGCUUCCAAUUUCACUUUCAAAGUUGAAAAUGCUGUAUAUAUCACUACAUAUUGCCGCUGUGCUACAUGAGACAGCCAAUAGUAUCAUCACCCAUGAUUUUAUUGUGUCAUUUUUUGUUGCAAUUCCGUGGGUGUCCCUUAGUGCAAUGGCCGCUGGAAAGAUGAAACCAACAGCGAUAGCAGCUGUCGCUCCAGUAAACUGGAAAGCAUCCCAGAUGUUAGGCACAAAAUUGGCUCCCACAAAGAUAAAUCCCAUUAAAGCUGCAGUUAUUGAGAAGAAUCUCCUGUUGUCAUAUGCAAUGGGAAUGGCAUAUGGAAAGAGAAGACCAUCCAGGUUAAGGCGAAGGGAGAAAAACACAAUUGGGAAGACAAGCAUCAAGUGGAUGCCAUAGCUCACUCUAACCACAUCAUCAAGCAGUGAACUAUACGGAAUUCCAAGGUCACCAUCAAAAUUGGCAAGUACAUCAUCCAGUGUUUGGUCACCAAAAAGAAGAACUCCAAACAAGCUGGUAGCAAUAUAGACAGAUGAGCAUAAUGUGAGGGAUGUCCGCACUAUUGACUUCAUCUGGGUGGGGUCUUUCAGUUCAUUCUCUAUAGGGUGAACUGCAAAAUGUGUUUGAAUAAGCAUACAACCAGGGAGUUAGUGGAAACAAACAAUCAUGAAAAACAACCAAUGCCUUUAUGAUGCAUAAGAGAAUGUCCAUUUUCCAGGGCGUUCUAGCAGCUCAAACUAGAGAUGAGCACUCAAUUUCUGGAUCAAUCAUAGAUGAGCAAUAUCAAGAUCGAUCAAUCAUAGAUGAGCAAUAUGCUUGUGAUGGGCUUUAAUUAAAAGAAAUUUUGAUGUCCAGUUAACAGCUCAACUUGGAAUAUGCAAAUUUAUGCAACUAAAUGAACUCAAUGAACAAGACUUUCCCCACCCCAAAAAGAACAAUAUAUCAUGAAUGUUGAUUUUAUAUGAACUCCAUAAUAUUAAUGGACUAUAAUGCUCUUUGUUUGAAGUUGAAGACACAAGCAAAUCUAAGCAUUUAAGUAGAAUCAACUGAUAUUCAGAACUUGAAAUACAAUUAAACCAGAUGAUAACAGCCCAGUGUAAUGAACUAGCCAUAAAACAUGAUCCAGAUUCCAUUAACUUACUGUUGUGGUGGCAUAUGUAAGCAGUGACUAAAACAGGUAUAACUGUAAAAAGCUUCCAGAAAGAUGCUUGAUCAUUGAGUUCGGGCACCAAACGUGGCAUUCUGAUACUUCCUUCUAUUAAUUUAACAAUUGCCACUCCAGCAGUGAUUGCCACAAAUACAAUAGCAAGCCCCACCGAUAAUGCUGAUGUGUAUCUCAAUGAAUCAACGCGUUUGAAUGAAAUGAGAGGAGCGAACACAAGAAGCGUGGUUAGCAGCAGCAAGACAGAACGUGAAGUAAAGCAAUGCUGACCCAGCCAUUUUUCCAUAACACCCGAAUGGCGGACCCCAUCUGACGACGUCCCGGCUAACACAUCACCGAUUAUGAUCAUGUAGACGAUGAGCAUGCCGAGGUUGUUAAUGACGAUGCACACUUGGGUGAGGGUCCGGCCGAGCCCACCAAACGUGUCGGCGACGACGCCGGAGUACGUGGCGGACUUGGAAGCUUUACCGAAUCUUAGGAUCAUGUCGAUGGAGGACUCUGUUAACAUGGCUCCCAAUACAAUCAUUAUAAUACCUGGAAUUAGCCCCAAUUGCUUCACAGUGGACGGAAGGGCCAUGAUGCCGGCACCAACGAUGGUGGUGGAUAGGUUGAAAACGGCGCCGGAGAAGGAAGCGCCGGAGAAGCCAACCUCGAAAGGCUCGUAGUCGUAGUGCUUUUGAGGCAGGAGAGGGAUCCUGGGACUCCGGCGGUAUUUUCGGUCGUUGGAGGACAUAACGGUCAUCUUGAGACAGUUGGUAGUUGGAGCGUGCGUGUGCGUUGGCUGAGAAAGAGGAAACGCGUGACUGGUUCGUGAGGAAGGGGAUUUUAUAUGGCGUGUUGAAGGACAACUUUCACGCGGGAGUGGACGUGGAGACCACGGUCAUUACAAUGGCCAGAAUCAAUCCAACGUUGAAAUGUGGAGAUUGACUAAGCUAUGGUUUGCCCGUUGGACGACUUUUCUAGCUUUCUCACCUCAUAGAGCCGUUACUGAGAGUACAAGAAAAUCGAAUUAGGACGAGACGCCUACCACCUUCCUUUCGUUUUUUUAAAAUGGCAAUUAUUAGCUAGAGGUUAGUGAUUGGAAUAUUCAAAAGCAAAGCUCAUGCCAUGGAAAUUUUUGUGUGACGCUUGUAA